rnacentral:snRNA from 1 species
AGCUUUGCGCAGUGGCAGUAUCGUAGCAAUGAGGUUUAUCUGAGGCGCGAUUAUUGCUAAUUGAAAAACACUUGUAUAUUCAUGUUCAUUGCAGCAUUAUUCACAAUUGCUAAGACACAGAAUCAACCCAAAUGU